CAUCAUCCCUCCUUCUCUCUCUCUCUCUCUCUCUCUCUCUCUCUCUCUCUCUGUGUGUGUGUGUGUGUGAGACAGAGAGAGAGAGAGAGAGAGAGAGAGAGAGAGAGAGAGAGAGAGAGAGAAUGAAUGAAUAU
rnacentral:miRNA from 1 species